CAUCAGUGUAUAACAUUGAUGAAGGUAAAAUGGAGUCUCCCAGGGAGAGAUUUGAGAGCAGUUGAGAGCAGACGUUGACAGAAUGCUAAUUUAUUUGUCAAAAAGAGCACCCAGAUGGUCAACAGUUGAUUUCACAUUUAAGAGUGCUCUUGCUGAGUCAUGGGAAAAAUAAAGGAGCUGGAAAAAAACACCUGCUAGUGACAUCAGCAUCAUCUACACACCUGCUAGUGACAUCAUGCUCCUCUUCACCUGCUAGUAACUUGCCUGCUUUGUGAUAAGCAAAUUUUGCUAUCUUCUAAUUCUGAACACAUCAGAAAUCACCAACCCCUCCUGACAUAUCUUUCCAGUUUGGGCAAAAAAUGAAUGUAUGUGCCAAAGUAGAAUUCAACAACUUUAGCCGUGAUCUCUGUGAUCAGCUCAUCAUCUCUCCAUACCCUCUCCACAUGGAAGUCACCUCUUGUACUUGUUACAAGAUCACACCAAGUUAACUAGUCCAGUAA